AUGCAGCGCUGCGCUCAGUAUGGCAGCUCCAGCGAACUCGACGUAUUCGGAGCGACGCGCUACUUCGACGGCCUCGCCGACCUUGCUGCCGGCCCGGUCACUGUCAGGUGGCCUAUGCAUCACCAGGAGGAAAGCUACCGCAGCACCCAGGAGCUGGGAGCCAAGACCAACAACAACCUCGCUGCCUUCUUCGGCUCCCUUGUGUCGUCGGCGGCGAGCUUUCGAAAGAAUCCGCCGGGGGUCCACGACGAGCCGCACCAGGUCUCGUCGUCCUCUUGUGCUGCUGCUUGCGAUCAUGAUUUGGGUGUGGUGGUGGGGGAUAGGAGGCUGCAAGGCGUUCGGGUAGUGAGGGGAGGCAAUGGCGACGAGGAGAGGUGGGUGGUGACAUGUGGCGGGCAUGCUUUGGAAGAGCAGCACCAUAUGGCCCAUGAGAAGAUUGCUGGCGCAAAAUCAAGUGAUGAUCAGCAGGUGGAAAAGGCGGAAGAUGACCAUGAGAAGAUUAUUGUUGAUGCGAAAUUAAGCGAUGGCCAUCAGGUGGAAGAUGGCGAUGGUUGGGGCAGCGACACUAGCUCUGAUCUCUUUGAGUUGGAUUUGGAUGAUAUGAAUAAUCGCUAA
rnacentral:rRNA from 1 species